rnacentral:rRNA from 1 species
AUUGAACGCUGGCGGCAGGCCUAACACAUGCAAGUCGAGCGGAUGAAGGGAGCUUGCUCCUGGAUUCAGCGGCGGACGGGUGAGUAAUGCGUAGGAAUCUGCCUGGUAGUGGGGGAUAACGUCCGGACACGGGCGCUAAUACCGCAUACGUCCUGAGGGAGAAAGUGGGGGAUCUUCGGACCUCACGCUAUCAGAUGAGCCUAGGUCGGAUUAGCGAGUUGGUGGGGUAAAGGCCUACCAAGGCGACGAUCCGUAACUGGUCUGAGAGGAUGAUCAGUCACACUGGAACUGAGACACGGUCCAGACUCCUACGGGAGGCAGCAGUGGGGAAUAUUGGACAAUGGGCGAAAGCCUGAUCCAGCCAUGCCGCGUGUGUGAAGAAGGUCUUCGGAUUGUAAAGCACUUUAAGUUGGGAGGAAGGGCAGUAAGUUAAUACCUUGCUGUUUUGACGUUACCAACAGAAUAAGCACCGGCUAACUUCGUG